UGGGGGAUAUUGCACAAUGGGCGAAAGCCUGAUGCAGCGACGCCGCGUGGGGGAUGAAGGCUUUCGGGUUGUAAUCCUCUUUCGCUAUCGAACAAGGCCCGCUUAGGGUGGGUUGAGGGUAGGUGGAGAAGAAGCGCCGGCUAACUACGUGCCAGCAGCCGCGGUAAUACGUAGGGCGCGAGCGUUGUCCGGAAUUAUUGGGCGUAAAGGGCUUGUAGGCGGCUUGUUGCGCCUGCUGUGAAAACGCGGGGCUUAACUUCGCGCGUGCAGUGGGUACGGGCAGGCUUGAGUGUGGUAGGGGUGACUGGAAUUCCAGGUGUAGCGGUGGAAUGCGCAGAUAUCUGGAGGAACACCGAUGGCGAAGGCAGGUCACUGGGCCAUUACUGACGCUGAGGAGCGAAAGCAUGGGUAGCGAACAGG
rnacentral:rRNA from 1 species